CAAGUCCCAGGAAGAUGGUGGGGGAACUCCACGGUGCACAGCCAUUUUCUCACGUGCAGAUAGAAUGUUCAGGAAAUACAGUUUGUCUCAGAGGAGCCCAUGUGGAGAACAGGUGGUAUUCUCUGACAAAGUCUGUCUCGGUAUGGUGUCUCCACUCCUGUGAGUUAAUCUUACUUGGUUGAUGGGAUUCCCAGAGAAGGAGCAAUGACAGAUUGAGAGCACCUGUGCUCAGAAGUUUCAGAGUCCUAAGCCGACGAUCAGCUUGGUCACAUUGGGUUUUAGCAGAGCCUCAUGGUAACCGGAAUCAUCCCUUAGGUCGUGAGGACGCUUCCCAUGGGAUCCAGAUUGUCUCUUCAGUCACGAGGAUUCCUCCCAUAGAAACCGAAUCACGCAUCAAGUUAUAGAGAUUCAAGCUGAGCUAAGAAAGCAGAACUGCCUCCCUUGUAGCUACAGAUGGCUUUUGGCACAAUUCUGGGAUGACUAAGAAAGAAGUGAAAUGUUAGAAUAAGCCUGGCUGGCACUACCCAUUCUUCUUCCUUCUGAUGUGCAAUACCUGCUAUGAUGCUUGGCCCCCACCAGGAGGGGAAGAGAAAGACAUUCCAGAAGAAAAAAGAACUAAAUGUCAAAUAGACAUGACCGGGGUAAAGAGAAUAGGGAUGAGCUCCAGGACAAAGGAGAAGGUAUCAAAGGCCACCAACUAUGAAAGAACAAGCUGGAAGAACAACUGUGUACAAACAGGACAAAUUAUAAAGCGUGAGGCUUUUAGUGACAAGCAAUAAACUGGAGAG